UACAGAGGUCUCAAGCGUUGUUCGGAUUCAUUGGGCGUAAAGGGUGCGUAGGCGGCGCGGUAAGUCGGGUGUGAAAUCUCGGAGCUUAACUCCGAAACUGCAUUCGAUACUGCCGUGCUUGAGGACUGGAGAGGAGACUGGAAUUUACGGUGUAGCGGUGAAAUGCGUAGAUAUCGUAAGGAAGACCAGUGGCGAAGGCGGGUCUCUGGACAGUUCCUGACGCUGAGGCAGGAAGGUCUGGGGAGCAAACGGG
rnacentral:rRNA from 1 species